rnacentral:lncRNA from 1 species
UUGACAGUGCCAGACUAUAUAUCCCCAGCGGAGUUGACAGUGCCAGACUGUAUCUUCCCAGCAGAAGUGGCUGCUCCUUAGAGUUCGAGGCCAAAUCGAUAAUCCCAAUGCCAGAUCCAUGGUUUCUUUCCUUGAAGCAGAACCUCGGUACCGUAUCGGUGUUUGCUUCCCCUACUGAGUCAUCUCUCGCAGAUCGUGGUUGCCAGAACCACUAUCGCUUUCCCCAACAGCAGGUUUUCA